rnacentral:rRNA from 1 species
GUACACUCCUGCGGGAGGCAGCAGUGGGGAAUAUUGCACAAUGGGCGCAAGCCUGAUGCAGCGACGCCGCGUGGGGGAUGAAGGCCUUCGGGUUGUAAACUCCUUUCGCUAGGGACGAAGCUUUUUUGUGACGGUACCUAGAUAAGAAGCACCGGCUAACUACGUGCCAGCAGCCGCGGUAAUACGUAGGGUGCGAGCGUUGUCCGGAAUUACUGGGCGUAAAGGGCUCGUAGGUGGUUUGUCGCGUCGUCUGUGAAAUUCUGGGGCUUAACUCCGGGCGUGCAGGCGAUACGGGCAUAACUUGAGUGCUGUAGGGGUAACUGGAAUUCCUGGUGUAGCGGUGAAAUGCGCAGAUAUCAGGAGGAACACCGAUGGCGAAGGCAGGUUACUGGGCAGUUACUGACGCUGAGGAGCGAAAGCAUGGGUAGCGAACAGGAUUAGAUACCCUUGUAGUCCCAUGA